rnacentral:rRNA from 1 species
GAUGAACGCUAGCUACAGGCUUAACACAUGCAAGUCGAGGGGAAACGAUGAGAGAGCUUGCUCUCUUAGUCGUCGACCGGCGCACUGGUGAGGAACGCGUAUCCAACCUGCCUCUGACCAAGGGAUAACCCUUCGAAAGUCGCACUAAUACCUUAUGCAGUCGCCGGAAGUCGUCUGGUGAUGACUAACGUUUUCCUCGUUGAGCGGCGGGUAUGCGUCUGAUUAGCUUGUUGGCUGGGUAACUACCCACCCAGGGGACGAUCAGUAGGCGUUCUGAGAGGAAGGUCCCCCACAAUGGAACUGAGGCACGGUCCAAACUCCUACGGGAGGCAGCAGUGAGGAAUAUUGGGCAAUGGGCGUAAGCCUGAACCAGCCAAGUAGCGUGCGGGAGGACGGGCCUAUGGGUUGUAAACUGCUUGGAUGCGGGGAUAAAGUGAGGGACGUGUCCUUCAUUGCAGGUACCGGAUGAAUAAGGACCGGCUAAUUACGUG